CCUACGGGGGACAGCAGUGAGGACUAUUGGUCAAUGGACGAGAGUCUGAACCAGCCAAGUAGCGUGAAGGAUGACUGCCCUAUGGGUUGUAAACUUCUUUUAUAAAGGAAUAAAACGAGGCACGUGUGCCUUUUUGCAUGUACUUUAUGAAUAAGGAUCGGCUAACUCCGUGCCAGCAGCCGCGGUAAUACGGAGGAUCCGAGCGUUAUCCGGAUUUAGUGGGUUUAAAGGGAGCGUAGAUGGGUUGUUAAGUCAGUUGUGAAAGUUUGCGGCUCAACCGUAAAAUUGCAAUUGAUACUGGCAGUCUUGAGUACAGUUGAGGUAGGCGGAAUUCGUGGUGUAGCGGUGAAAUGCUUAGAUAUCACGAAGAACCCCGAUUGCGAAGGCAGCUUACUAAACUGUGACUGACAUUGAUGCUCGAAAGUGUGGGUAUCAAACAGGAUUAGAUACCCUGGUAGUC
rnacentral:rRNA from 1 species